AUUGAACGCUGGCGGCAUGCUUUACACAUGCAAGUCGAACGGUAACAGGGUGCUUGCACCGCUGACGAGUGGCGAACGGGUGAGUAAUGCGUCGGAACGUGCCGAGUAGUGGGGGAUAACGCAUCGAAAGGUGUGCUAAUACCGCAUACGUACUGAGGUAGAAAGUGGGGGACCUUCGGGCCUCACGCUAUUCGAGCGGCCGACGUCUGAUUAGCUAGUUGGUGAGGUAAAGGCUCACCAAGGCGACGAGCAGUAGCGGGUCUGAGGGGAUGAUCCGCCACACUGGGACUGAGACACGGCCCAGACUCCUACGGGAGGCAGCAGUGGGGAAUUUUGGACAAUGGGCGCAAGCCUGAUCCAGCCAUGCCGCGUGUCUGAAGAAGGCCUUCGGGUUGUAAAGGACUUUUGUCCGGGAGCAAAUACCCAGUGCUAAUAACGCUGGGGGCUGAGAGUACCGGAAGAAUAAGCACCGGCUAACUACGUGCCAGCCGCCGCAGUAAAAC
rnacentral:rRNA from 1 species